rnacentral:siRNA from 1 species
UCCAUGAACUUUGCAGUCCUCGAG